rnacentral:rRNA from 1 species
AACGAACGCUGGCGGCAGGCUUAACACAUGCAAGUCGAGCGCGUAGCAAUACGAGCGGCAGACGGGUGAGUAACGCGUGGGAAUCUACCCAACCCUACGGAAUAACGCAUGGAAACGUGUGCUAAUACCGUAUACGCCCUUCGGGGAAAGAUUUAUCGGGAUGGAUGAGCCCGCGUUGGAUUAGCUAGUUGGUGGGGUAAAGGCCUACCAAGGCGACGAUCCAUAGCUGGUCUGAGAGGAUGAUCAGCCACAUUGGGACUGAGACACGGCCCAAACUCCUACGGGAGGCAGCAGUGGGGGAAUAUUGGACAAUGGGCGCAAGCCUGAUCCAGCCAUGCCGCGUGAGUGAUGAAGGCCUUAGGGUUGUAAAAGCUCUUUCACCGGUGAAGAUAAUGACGGUAACCGGAGAAGAAGCCCCGGCUAACUUCGUGCCAGCAGCCGCGGU